rnacentral:rRNA from 1 species
UCCAGACUCCUACGGGAGGCAGCAGUGGGGGAUAUUGCACAAUGGGGGGAACCCUGAUGCAGCGACGCCGCGUGGGUGAAGGAGUGCUUCGGCAUGUAAAGCCCUAUCGGCAGGGAAGAAGCAAGACGGUACCUGACUAAGAAGCCCCGGCUAACUACGUGCCAGCAGCCGCGGGAAUACGUAGGGGGCGAGCGUUAUCCGGAUUUAUUGGGUUUAAAGGGUGCGUAGGUGGGCUGUUAAGUCAGCGGUCAAAUGUCGGGGCUCACCCCCGGCCUGCCGUUGAAACUGGCGGCCUCGAGUGGGCGAGAAGUAUGCGGAAUGCGUGGUGUAGCGGUGAAAUGCAUAGAUAUCACGCAGAACUCCGAUUGCGAAGGCAGCAUACCGGCGCCCUACUGACGCUGAGGCACGAAAGCGUGGGUAUCGAACAGGAUUAGAUACCCCUGUAC